UACGGGGGGGGCAAGCGUUGUUCGGAAUUACUGGGCGUAAAGCGCGUGUAGGCGGCCCGGUAAGCCUUCUGUUAAAGCUUCGGGCCCAACCCGGAAAGCGUAGAGGGUACUGCCAGGCUAGAGGACGGGAGAGGAGCGCGGAAUUCCCGGUGUAGCGGUGAAAUGCGUAGAGAUCGGGAGGAAGGCCGGUGGCGAAGGCGGCGCUCUGGAACGUUACUGACGCUGAGACACGAAAGCGUGGGGAGCAAACAGG
rnacentral:rRNA from 1 species